ensembl:lncRNA
AGGGAACUCGAGGUGACGGAGGGUCUCUGGGCUGUUCCGAGGAAGUGUGACACUGAGAUCCCUGAAGGAGAAAGCUGAUGCUGAAGCUGAAGCUCCAAUACUUUGGCCAUCUGAUGUGAAGGACUGGCUCCUUAGAAAACACCCUGAUGCUGGGAAAGAUUGAAGGCAGGAGGAAAAGGCUUAUUACUUAGUAAUUUGCAACUAAAGCCCCUGUACCACAAGUACUGAAGCCCGCACACCCUAGAGCUUGUGCGCUGCAACAAGAGAAGCCAACGCAGCGCUUCUCUCUCCAUGCAUCGAAAGGAAGAGUAGCCCUGCUCCCUGCAACUAGAGGAAGCCCGAGAAGACCCAGUGCAAGC